rnacentral:rRNA from 1 species
UACGUAGGGUGCGAGCGUUAAUCGGAAUUACUGGGCGUAAAGCGUGCGCAGGCGGUUUUGCAAGCCGGAUGUGAAAUCCCCGGGCUCAACCUGGGAAUGGCAUUCGGGACUGCAAGGCUGGAGUGCGGCAGAGGAGACUGGAAUUCCUGGUGUAGCAGUGAAAUGCGUAGAUAUCAGGAGGAAUACCGGUGGCGAAGGCGGGUCUCUGGGCAGUAACUGACGCUGAGGAGCGAAAGCGUGGGGAGCGAACAGG